GCACUUACCUGGACGGGGUCUAUGGGUGAUCAAGAAGAUCCAUGGCCUAGAUCAACGGCCUACAUUGCACUUGGUAGGCGUGUUGGUCUGCCAUCUCCCCAAGUGGAGAGUGGGCGUCAUAAUUUGUGGUAGAGGAGGUACGCGUUCGCGCGGCCCCGCC
rnacentral:snRNA from 1 species